rnacentral:rRNA from 1 species
UACGUAGGGGGCGAGCGUUGUCCGAAGUUACUGGGCGUAAAGCGCGCGUAGGCGGGGGGUUAAGUGAGAGGUGAAAGGCUGGGGCUCAACCUCAUGCAGUGCCUCUCAUACUGGCUCUCUUGAGGGCGGUAGGGAGAAGUGGAAUGGCUGGUGUAGCGGUGAAAUGCGUAGAUAUCUGGAGGAACACCGGUGGCGAAGGCGGCAUCCUGGACCGGUAUUGACGCUGAGGCGCGAAAGCUAGGGGAGCAAACGGG